GACGAACGCUGGCGGCGUGCCUAAUACAUGCAAGUUGAGCGCUGAAGGUUGGUACUUGUACCAACUGGAUGAGCAGCGAACGGGUGAGUAACGCGUGGGGAAUCUGCCUUUGAGCGGGGGACAACAUUUGGAAGCGAAUGCUAAUACCGCAUAAAAACUUUAAACACAAGUUUUAAGUUUGAAAGAUGCAAUUGCAUCACUCAAAGAUGAUCCCGCGUUGUAUUAGCUAGUUGGUGAGGUAAAGGCUCACCAAGGCGAUGAUACAUAGCCGACCUGAGAGGGUGAUCGGCCACAUUGGGACUGAGACACGGCCCAAACUCCUACGGGAGGCAGCAGUAGGGAAUCUUCGGCAAUGGACGAAAGUCUGACCGAGCAACGCCGCGUGAGUGAAGAAGGGUUUCGGAUCGUAAAACUCUGUUGGUAGAGAAGAACGUUGGUGAGAGUGGAAAGCUCAUCAAGUGACGGUAACUACCCAGAAAGGGACGGCUAACUACGUG
rnacentral:rRNA from 1 species